rnacentral:rRNA from 1 species
AGCGAACGCUGGCGGCAUGCCUAACACAUGCAAGUCGAACGAGAUCUUCGGGUCUAGUGGCGCACGGGUGCGUAACGCGUGGGAAUCUGCCCUUUGGUUCGGAAUAACAGUUGGAAACGACUGCUAAUACCGGAUGAUGACGAAAGUCCAAAGAUUUAUCGCCAGAGGAUGAGCCCGCGUAGGAUUAGCUAGUUGGUGUGGUAAAGGCGCACCAAGGCGACGAUCCUUAGCUGGUCUGAGAGGAUGAUCAGCCACACUGGGACUGAGACACGGCCCAGACUCCUACGGGAGGCAGCAGUGGGGAAUAUUGGACAAUGGGCGAAAGCCUGAUCCAGCAAUGCCGCGUGAGUGAUGAAGGCCUUAGGGUUGUAAAGCUCUUUUACCCGGGAUGAUAAUGACAGUACCGGGAGAAUAAGCUCCGGCUAACUCCGUGCCAGCCGCCGCGGUAACAC